GACGAACGCUGGCGGCGUGCUUAACACAUGCAAGUCGAACGGAAAUGCCCUGCUUUUGUGGGGUGCUCGAGUGGCGAACGGGUGAGUAACACGUGAGUAACCUGCCCUUGACUUUGGGAUAGCUUCAGGAAACUGGGGCUAAUAACGGAUAGGAGCUCCUGCUGCAUGGUUGGAGUUGGAAAGUUUCGGCGGUUGGGGAUGGACUCGCGGCUGAUCAGCCUGUUGGGAGGGUAGUGGCUUACCAAGGCUGUGACGGGUAGCCGGGCUGAGAGGGGGAACCGGCAAAAAGGGACUGAGAUAAGGGCCAUACUCCUACGGGAGGGAGCAGUGGGGAAUAAUGCAAAAUGGGCGGAAGACUGAGGCAGCAACGUCGCGUGCGGGAUGUCGGGCUUUGCGGUGUGAACCGCUUUCGCCGGUGACGAGGCGUAAGUGACGGUACUGGGAGAAGAAGCACCGGCUAACUACGUG
rnacentral:rRNA from 1 species